GAAGCGGCGACAGCUCAAAUUUGAAAUCUGGUUCCUUCGGAGCCCGAGUUGUAAUUUGCAGAGGAUGCUUUGGGUUCGGGUUCCUUCCGAGUUCCCUGGAACGGGACGCCAUAGAGGGUGAGAGCCCCGUCUGGUCGGAAACCCAGCCCGUGUAAAGCUCCCUCGACGAGUCGAGUAGUUUGGGAAUGCUGCUCUAAGGGGAGGUAUACUCCUUCCAAGGCUAAAUAUUGGCUAGAGACCGAUAGCGAACAAGUAGAGUGAUCGAAAGAUGAAAAGCACUUUGAAAAGAGAGUUAAACAGCACGUGAAAUUGUUAAAAGGGAAGCGCUCGUUACCAGACUUGAGUUCGGAGGUUCAACCGGGGCCAUGCCCCGGGGCACUCCACCGGCUCAGGCCAGCAUCAGUUCUUCGUCGGAGGGAAAGACGUCGGGAAUGUAGCACCCCUCCGGGGGUGUGUUAUAGCCCGGCGUGUCAUAUCCUUCGGGGGACUGAGGUUCGCGCAUCUGCAAGGAUGCUGGCGUAAUGGUAACUAGUGAC
rnacentral:rRNA from 1 species